CAGCAGCAGCCACGGUAAUACGAGGGGGGCAAGCGUUGUUCGGAAUUACUGGGCGUAAAGCGUGCGCAGGCGGUUCGUUAAGACAGAUGUGAAAUCCCCGGGCUUAACCUGGGAACUGCAUUUGUGACUGGCGAGCUAGAGUAUGGCAGAGGGGGGUAGAAUUCCACGUGUAGCAGUGAAAUGCGUAGAGAUGUGGAGGAAUACCGAUGGCGAAGGCAGCCCCCUGGGCCAAUACUGACGCUCAUGCACGAAAGCGUGGGGAGCAAACAGGAUUAGAUACCCCGGUAGUCCCUGUCUCUUAUAC
rnacentral:rRNA from 1 species